AGAGUACGUGAAACUGCUCAGAGGCAAACGGGUGGGCCCUCGAAAUCCUCUUGCGGAGAGAUUCAGUCGGGAGUCGGAGAGGCGGAAGCGAGUGACGGACCCUGGARRAGGACGGKCCUCGCUSCGYGGUCUCGSCGGCGCCCGACGCAUUUCUCCCCGCACUCUGGACGCCGCAACCGAUCGGGUAGCAGCGAGAGUCGGCCUGGAGGUCGUCCCAGGCAGGUGGCCGGRUCGCAGUCCUCGUGUSUGCGUUCCGGUUAUUCACGGGGCGGUYCGUGGCGCGACACCCGAUCGAGGUCAACGUUCCCCCURCGGGGAACAAUCCGUCUCCGUCCUCGWGGCGCGGYGACCGGGACAGUGWGCGCCGACGAUGCCGAACCACUCUGCGUAGUGGCCGGCGCGGCGGUGGCCGUCGUUGGUYCCGGU
rnacentral:rRNA from 1 species